CAGGGAGACAACAAAAUGUUUAAUAAUUAUUAUUUUGUCACCUUAGGUCGAUCGGUAUCUCACAUUCUUGAUUUAUCAAGGAUUUUAUUUCCUAAGUUUUUUCUAGGUCACACCCAUUACUUUCCCUGGGCCAUUAGCUCAGGUGGUUAGAGCGCACCCCUGAUAAGGGUGAGGUCCCUGGUUCAAGUCCAGGAUGGCCCAUAUCUCUAUGUUGGGGGUAUAGCUCAGUUGGUAGAGCGCCUGCUUUGCAAGCAGGAUGUCAGCGGUUCGAGUCCGCUUACCUCCACUGAUUACCACCUCAUACAGACUCAAGGAAAUGUUUUGUGUUGUGAUCAAAUUCUGAAAGAAUCUAGCUUCCUAAUGAAAUAAUUCAUUAAGAUGCUGGACUCAUUGAAUUAAUUUCAUUGUUUUCAGAGAACCUUGACAACUGCAUAGAUUAUUUUAAAGACAAUAAGCAUCUUUAAUGAUGCAGAUUUAUUAUUUGUGCAAAUGCAUUAAUAACAAUUCUAUUAAGCUGAUGCUUCA
rnacentral:tRNA from 1 species